AGCCUGAACGCUGGCGGCGUGGCUAAGACAUGCAAGUCGAACGGUGUAGCAAUACACAGUGGCGAACGGGUGAGUAAUGUAUCGCUAACGUACCCUUAUGUCAGGGAUAGCCGGGGGAAACUCCGGGUAAUACCUGAUGAAAUUCCUUUUUCGCAUGGAAAAGGACUCAAAGGAGCAAUCCGCAAAAGGAGCGGGCGAUAUCGUAUCAGCUAGUUGGUGAGGUAACGGCUCACCAAGGCGACGACGCGUAGCCGGGCUGAGAGGUCGGCCGGCCACAUUGGGACUGAGACACUGCCCAGACUCCUACGGGGGCUGCAGUAACGAAUCUUCCGCAAUGCACGCAAGUGUGACGGAGCGACGCCGCGUGUGGGACGAAGUCCUUCGGGAUGUAAACCACUGUCAGGGGUAGAAAGUUCUGAUCUACCCCAGAGGAAGGCACGGCUAACUCUGUGCCAGCAGCCGC
rnacentral:rRNA from 1 species